CGUCCGGGGUUAGCCUGUAACGAGAGCGCCACGCGCUUCAGAUCUCCGCGCAUUAAAAACUAAAGGCACGCGCUGGGAGGGAGUCACGGUUCUCUACAGAACAACCCGUGCCUUAUACGACUAGCACUUCAACCAGCGGAAGAGUUCAAGCUCUUUCCCACAAUCAAACUUCACAUACGAAAACUAUAACCCGAGCAGCCUUCUCCAGCUUCUCACCGCGACUACAGCUCACUUUAUCCCGCACGACACCUGUCCGAAGAAAUCAGCAGCUCUUCAGCCGUCUCGGAGCAGGCGGAGACCGGUCCUUGGAAAGCGGUAUCUUCCAGUGUUCCAUAAAGCGAACAAACUCCUUCCCUGUCCCCCUGGCCAGCCAUCCCUUUCAUCACCUGCCCCGCUGCUGCCCUCCCCUGUUUGUCCUGGAAGACACUGAACAGACUUAAAUUGUGGGGUCGUGUUUUUGCCACGUCGG
rnacentral:lncRNA from 1 species